AUUUUGUGCGCCCUUUCAAGUGGGGUGAGGGGUUUACAAAAAGCGGACAAAAGCGUGCGAGGGGGUAGGGGGUAUCGAAAAAUCCUAAUUUACCGCGAGCGUAAUUUCUGAAUGACCCCUAAAUUAAUUUAAAAAAAAACUUA